UGAUGAUUCCGUCAUGCGCCAAACAACUAACUGCUCAGCACCCACUCCAUGCCAGGUGGGCAUAAAGGCAGAUGAGACAGCCAGGUUUUCCAGCCUCAAUGAGCUCCCUCUGUAGAAGGGGAAAGGGGGGCCCUUGAUUCCAGAUCCUCCACUGGGGUCUUGUGUGGCUCUGUGGCUCUGCGGGAAGGCUCCGGAGUCACACGGACUGUGCUUCACACUAGCUAGCCAUGUGGUCUUACCCAACCUUUUGUGCCUUGGCUCCCUUAUCUGUGGACUGAUGGGGAGGACAACCACCCUGCCUGCGAGACCAGCUGGAGGAAGCCUUCACACAGUACAUGGAACCUAGACGUGAUGCUGGAGGUGUGGCAGCCACUGUGGUACCAUAAGAUUGAAAGCCAACAUCUAAGGAUGGUGGAAGACAUCAUGAGGCCAGCAAACCAGUCCAGGCAACUGACCUGUAGAUUCCUUGUCAUAUGCAGAUUAGUACCUGUCUGUGGGAUGUUUCCGUUGCUGUCGGCCACCUUAGGAUAUUGUAACCUUGCUUGGGGGGCACCUCUACAUACCUGCCGACUGGCUGACUGGCUGAAUGGUAGGAUCAACUUUUUACAAGUUAAUAACGAUAAUAACUGUCUUACUAUUCCUGUUGGUAUUGUUACCCCAUGGAUCAAGGACCUGCUCUACUCUCUAUAUGAAGGAUUAUCUCAUUGAACCCUCCCAGGGACACUAUGAACUGGAGUCUGAACUGCCCCCGUUUUACACAUGAAGAACACUGAGGCUCAGAAGGGGUCACACAGCUGUUUGGUCAUGGGGCUAGAGUUUGGCUCCAGUAUGUGGGCUCCGGGACACAUCUUUUGUUCCCCUCCUUUCAUGCCCUCAGGUCUAGAGAACCAGCUUGGUCAUUUUGUCUUUUGGACAAAGAACAGUCUGGGCAGGGAGGACGACCUUGCUAGCAGGAUGGCCCCGUGGCUCUCUGAGUCUCAGCUGUCAUGUGCAACUGCUGAGCUCCAGGCCUGAAUGUCAAGGGAGGCUGACAGAGGGGACCUUGGAGGAGAUAGUUAGAGGGCAACGAAGAGUCUGUCCCUCUGGCCUUGGUGAUCCAGAUCGUGAGGGGACCAUGAGGUGCCACCCCUUGGCCCCAACUGUUCCCAGACUCCUCUAAGAAGGCCCCCCCUUGUUCCUUGAAGCUACCAAGCACAGAGGGAAAGGCUGUGGUCCUAGGAAGCUAGGCCAUGCCUCUCUCCUGAUGGUGGCACCCCCAUGCUCAGUCAGCUUGGCCAAGGGCCUGUUCUGGGACAGGGUCAGAGUCGGAGCCAGAGUGAGGCAGCAGGUGCUUGCCCUCUAUGAGCUUAGACUCUCAGUAAGCCCAGAGAGGUGAGAGAGCACAGAUGGCCACCUAUCCCAGAGGAGGAAGGCCAGGGAAUGGUAAGAGCCCAGGCCAAAGGAGGAGGAAGGGAAAGAGUAUUUGUUCUAGGGCGUGAGCCCCAUUUUGGCAGGGAGAGUGAUUCAGAAGAGCUGACCUGAGGCGCAGAGAAGGGAGGAGAGGCCGAGAGAGGGGAGCCAGAGUGGGUCCUUGGGGCUCGAGGAGCCUCAUGGUGUUUCAUGGAAGAGUGGGGGUCGUGGAGGGCUGGGCCAGAAGGGUAUGCAUUUGGAGCAUCCCUCAGGUCUUUCCUAGCUUCACUCUUCUGGGUCUCUGAGG